AGAGUUUGAUUCUGGCUCAGGAUGAACGCUGGCGGUAUGCUUAACACAUGCAAGUCGAACGGUCUUUUCGGAGAUAGUGGCGGACGGGUGAGUAACGCGUGAGAAUCUAGCUUUAGGUUCGGGACAACCAUUGGAAACGGUGGCUAAUACCGGAUGUGCCGAGAGGUAAAAGGCUUGCUGCCUAGAGAUGAGCUCGCGUCUGAUUAGCUAGUUGGUAGUGUAAGGGACUACCAAGGCGACGAUCAGUAGCUGGUCUGAGAGGAUGAUCAGCCACACUGGGACUGAGACACGGCCCAGACUCCUACGGGAGGCAGCAGUGGGGAAUUUUCCGCAAUGGGCGAAAGCCUGACGGAGCAAUACCGCGUGAGGGAGGAAGGCUCUUGGGUUGUAAACCUCUUUUCUCAAGGAAUAAGAAAGUGAAGGUACUUGAGGAAUAAGCAUCGGCUAACUCCGUGCCAGCAGCCGCGGUAAUACGGAGGAUGCAAGCGUUAUCCGGAAUGAUUGGGCGUAAAGCGUCCGCAGGUGGUGAUGAAAGUCUGCUGUCAAAGAAUCAGGCUUAACCUGAUCAAGGCAGUGGAAACUACAUGACUAGAGUGCGUUCGGGGCAGAAGGAAUUCCUGGUGUAGCGGUGAAAUGCGUAGAUAUCAGGAAGAACACCGGUGGCGGAAGCGUUCUGCUAGGCCGUAACUGACACUGAGGGACGAAAGCUAGGGGAGCGAAUGGGAUUAGAUACCCCAGUAGUCCUAGCCGUAAACGAUGGAUACUAGGCGUUGCUUGUAUCGACCCGAGCAGUGCCGUAGCUAACGCGUUAAGUAUCCCGCCUGGGGAGUACGCACGCAAGUGUGAAACUCAAAUGAAUUGACGG
rnacentral:rRNA from 1 species